UUAAAAGCCUCUUUUCUUUUAAGAUUUUUUUACUUUUUUUUCUAUAAUUUUUAUUACUUUACUUCUCUGAGUGUUAGCACACUUCUUUACUUCGUAUCUGUGUGUUAGCCUACUUACUUGAGUCUUGUGAUUAAUCUGCUUCAAAUAUAUUUUUCUGAAUCCCUAGCCUACUUAUGUCGCUUUUGUGUGAAUAUACUCACUUUUUUUGUUCAUCUUUGCUUCUUUCUGUGACUAUGCUUCAAAUAUGUUUUCUUGCUACACCUGGGGACCUCCUCUAUUUAUAUGAUGAAAGUAUACAAUCUUGACUCCCUUUUGAUCAAGUCUGGUUUCCUUAAUCAGUGGUGAUUGAAGAUUUUCUUUCAAAAACCCUAAAAGCUCUGCCUCGUUUGUUAAGCUGAUUGAUUUCCUUACCCUAUUUUGCUAGUGUAUUAAUUUUUCCUAUUAAGUUGUAGCCUUAAUCAGGGCUUUAUGAAUUGGUCCUACUCUAUGCUACUGAAUCUCGACCCCUACUUAAUUUGAUUAUUUGCUUACCUUAAUUAAUUCUCCUUGCCUUAUCUGCAUUACUACUGAUUGUCUCCUUAGUUUGAAAACAUUCUGAACCUAGCCUUAAUUUCCUGUUCUAUACUGGUACUAUUUUUGAAAUCUUUCCUUAUUUGUUAUACUCCAACCGUGUAUGAUUUUUUCCCUUAUUUUCCACCUGCUCUUUACCAUUCAAAUUGACUCCCUUAAUCAAAGGGAGAUUCGAACCAAUUCUUUAUGUUGAGUUGUAUAAUUACUGAAGAAUUGAUUCUUGCCUUGUUUAAUCCAGUUUUCAAACUACUAUAUAAAUUACUCUAUUCUACUGUCUUAAUACAUGAACAAUUAGUUCAAAAACACAUACACACACACACACACACACACACACUCAAUUCUCUCUUUUUUCUCUACUACUUGUAUAGCCGCAGAAAGCCAAGACUAGACUGUGGGAUACUACUUGCUUUACUUUAUGCACUUUGCUUCCUUAAUUGAUAUAUCCCUAGUUCAAUCCUGAAACUCAACUAUAUGUGCCCCAAUUGUUUAUCAAUCCCUAUCUCUUUCUGUACUGACUUGAUGGCUCGUGUUAAUCAAUUGCCCUUCUUGUUUACUGCUUUAUUCAACAUGCUUAAGUUCUACCCUCGUUUAUUCAAAUGUAAUCAGCAUGUCUACUUGAGUUCCUGUUUAUGUCCCUCAACUAGUAUGUCCCCCAAUGUACCUGAUUAACACUACGUCAUGACUAAUUAUGUGUAAUAGACCCCUGCAUGACUACUUUUUUUUACAUACCCUGUCCCUAUGUCUUAUUACAAUUCUAAUUUCAAGCAUGAUUCCCUUGUUAACUCUUCGAAGUAAUUGUUUGUGUUCAAAAGGCCAAUCAGUCCCUACUUGUUCUUUGUACUUACUGGUCUAUAUGCAUCUUUUAUCAGCCAUGUUUAUGUGUUUCUAAUUUGGGUCCUCUAUGUCCCCAACCCCUUAUUCCCCUGCUUGUAACUUUUGAAAUUGUACUAUUCUUUGAACUUGCUCUGUG
rnacentral:lncRNA from 1 species